rnacentral:piRNA from 1 species
UCAACUACUAUCAGGGGAUGCUGGAC